GACGAACGCUGGCGGCGCGCUUAACACAUGCAAGUCGAACGGAAAGGCCUGCUUUCCCUUGUGGAUUGCGGGUACUCGAGUGGCGAACGGGUGAGUAACACGUGAGUGAUCUGCCCCCAACUUGGGUAUAAGCCUGGGAAACUGGGUCUAAUUCCCGAUAGGACUGCAGGGUGGUGCCUGUGGUGGAAAACGAUUUUCUAGUGGUUGGGGAUGAGCUCGCGGCCUAUCAGCUUGUUGGUGGGGUAAUGGCCUACCAAGGCGGCGACGGGUAGCCGGCCUGAGAGGGUGGACGGCCACAUUGGGACUGAGAUACGGCCCAGACACCUACGGGAGGCAGCAGUGGGGAAGAUUGCACAAUGGGCGGAAGCCUGAUGCAGCGACGCCGCGUGGGGGAUGACGGCCUUCGGGUUGUAAACUCCUUUCGACCGCGAGGAAGCCACCUGGUUGGAAGGGUGGUGACGGUAGUGGUAGAAGAAGCACCGGCUAACUACGUG
rnacentral:rRNA from 1 species